CAGCAGCCGCGGUAAUACGUAGGGUGCGAGCGUUAAUCGGAUUUACUGGGCGUAAAGCGUGCGCAGGCGGCCCGUUAAGACAGGUGUGAAAUCCCUGGGCUCAACCUAGGAAUUGCGCUUGUGACUGGCGGGCUCGAGUACGGUAGAGGGGGGUGGAAUUCCUGGUGUAGCAGUGAAAUGCGUAGAUAUCAGGAGGAACACCGAUGGCGAAGGCAGCCCCCUGGGCCUGUACUGACGCUCAUGCACGAAAGCGUGGGGAGCAAACAGGAUUAGAUACCCGGGUAGUCCACGCCCUAAACGAUGGGUACUAGCCGUUUGGUGCGCGAUAGCGCUGAGUGGCGAAGCUAACGCGUGAAGUACCCCGCCUGGGGAGUACGGCCGCAAGGUUGAAACUUAAAGGAAUUGGCGGG
rnacentral:rRNA from 1 species